rnacentral:miRNA from 1 species
CACUUGGGAAUCUUGUUCAAGAGCAGAGUCUGAUUUAGAAUGAGGCCCAAGAUUCUGCAUUUCUAAGUUCUCCAGAGAUG